GUAAUUGGAAAUAGAGAUUGAUCACAAAGUCUUUUGUGAGGUCAGGAAGAUGUCUCGGUUUCAGAAGAUGAUGAUGAUGAAGUUGUUGUUAGGGCGCAACCCAAUAUGUCACCUCUUUCUGACACAGUGCUUUGGUCAAGUCCCGAAAGCAGUACACCAGAGCAUAGACAUCGGUCAGCCACAACAACCCAGUCAUCUAAUGGGCAAGCCAAGAGUGCAACAAGACCCAAACAGAUGACCACCUCAGUGGGUGAACUCAACUGAAGUCAAGUGACU